CCAUAUCAAUAAGCGGAGGAAAAGAAACCAACAGGGAUUGCCCUAGUAACGGCGAGUGAAGCGGCAACAGCUCAAAUUUGAAAUCUGGCGUCUUCGGCGUCCGAGUUGUAAUUUGCAGAGGGCGCUUUGGCAUUGGCAGCGGUCCAAGUUCCUUGGAACAGGACGUCACAGAGGGUGAGAAUCCCGUACGUGGUCGCUAGCCUUUACCGUGUAAAGCCCCUUCGACGAGUCGAGUUGUUUGGGAAUGCAGCUCUAAAUGGGAGGUAAAUUUCUUCUAAAGCUAAAUACUGGCCAGAGACCGAUAGCGCACAAGUAGAGUGAUCGAAAGAUGAAAAGCACUUUGGAAAGAGAGUUAAAAAGCACGUGAAAUUGUUGAAAGGGAAGCGCUUGCAGCCAGACUUGCCUGUAGUUGCUCAUCCGGGUUUCUACCCGGUGCACUCUUCUAUAGGCAGGCCAGCAUCAGUUUGGGCGGUUGGAUAAAGGUCUCUGUCAUGUACCUCUCUUCGGGGAGAACUUAUAGGGGAGACGACAUGCAACCAGCCUGGACUGAGGUCCGCGCAUCUGCUAGGAUGCUGGCGUAAUGGCUGUAAGCGGCCCGUCUUGAAACACGGACCAAGGAGUCUAACAUCUAUGCGAGUGUUUGGGUGUCAAGCCCGAGCGCGUAAUGAAAGUGAACGGAGGUGGGAACCUUUCGGGGUGCACCAUCGACCGAUCCUGAUGUCUUCGGAUGGAUUUGAGUAAGAGCAUAGCUGUUGGGACCCGAAAGAUGGUGAACUAUGCUUGAAUAGGGUGAAGCCAGAGGAAACUCUGGUGGAGGCUCGCAGCGGUUCUGACGUGCAAAUCGAUCGUCAAAUUUGGGCAUAGGGGCGAAAGACUAAUCGAACUAUCUAGUAGCUGGUUCCUGCCGAA
rnacentral:rRNA from 1 species